GGAGGUGAGAAUUGGUGAACAAGGUGGAAGUCCCCUGAAGGGGCAGAGUCAUGGAGCUGUCCAGAGCCUCUCCGCAUGGCUGGGGCAGCCCCUGGAAGAGGUUCCUGCUCACAGGUAUCCUGCUCAGCUUCUGGGGGCCACCCAGAAUCUGCUCAGAUCUUCACCGCCACUGUCCCAAACCGCCCCAUGGAAGGAGAUGACGUGAUUCUGACCGCCCCGAACGCCCCAGACAGGAUCCUCAAUGCCAGCUGGCACUCAGGGUUCCAGCCCUCGGAUCCUGACACGAUCACCAGCUGCAUCCCCACUGCCCAGGCAGGCCCCUGCACCCAGCGCCUAGGUCCUGCCCACACCAGGAGGGAGGCUCUGACAAGCUGGAACACAUUGGGAAUCAGAAACCUCACUCCCUCCGACACUGGCUUUUACUCCCUGGUGCUGAACACUGACUCAGGCCUGGAGAAGGCAUCCCCCUACAUCCAUGUCUGGCGCCCACGGGAGUUUCUUCUAAUACCAGACAUCUCGGCCAACAUGAAUGUUGCUGUGGAGAACGUGGACUGAGUGGUCUUCACCUGUCACACCAAUGAAGCCAACAUCAGGGUCCUCUGGUAUAAUGGCGGCUGGCUGCUGCAGGGGGGAGGGCGACUGCAGCUGUCCAACGGCAACAGGACCCUGGCCAUCCGGCCAGUGACCCGAGGCGACCAGGGGUUAUACUUCUGUAGAGUGUAGAAUGAGUCUGACUACCGGACAAGUGAGACCAUCCAGCUGACUGUGUUCUGUGGGCCUGGAUCAUUGGUAAUGUCGUCAUAUCCAAAACCAUACGAGGGCACCGUUGUGAGUGACCUCAACUACUCGGUGGUCCUGCAGUGUUUGGCUAUGGCAAACCCCAGUCCCCUGUUCACCUGGUCCCUUAACACAACGUGUGUGGGACCCAAGGGGAUUACAUUAUCCGGAGAUUGGCCAAGAAGAACCUAGGCAGUUUAACUACAUGUGCACGGCUCCGAACGCGUGGGCCUGAGGACCUCCAAUCCCAUCCAUAUGUGGCUGCCCGAGCCCCCUUCAGAGGACACUGACACAGGGCACAUCGAGCCCAAUUCCAUCUACGCCCUCUCUGGAGCUCCCACCAUCGUUCUGACCAUGGCAGGAACUUCAGGGAUAGUCACCUUCAUCGGGGGCAUAAUGUACUCUGUGAUCAACAGAAAGGCAUUGAUGAAAGGAAGAAACAGUAAAUGUGGGUGUUUCUGAGCCUGGAAGACCCAUCCCUUCAGCCUAGGAGGUAAAAGCAAAGAUGGAAUGGAGGGAAGCCUGAAAAGAGACAUGGAGCAUAAGAUGUCCUGCCUGGGGAGACCUUAGACCAUGGAAUGUCAGGCCUUAGAACAAGGAGUGUCAGGGCUUGGAGGACCCUGAGAACAGGGAAUGUCAGAGCUGGGAGGGCCCUUAGAACAGGGAAUGUCAG